GCAGAAACCUCCACAGCGGCGAGCAAGAGGGGAUUUGGGGGAUUGAGGGCAGGCACCUGCGAUGCCCCCGCAGCCAUCUGGACAGGGGACUCGGGCAGAGACUGCCACUCAGGGCUGCCCCGCAUGCAAGAGACCCUCGGCUCCAGCUCCUGUGGGAGCUUCCCACGGACUCUCCGACUCCAGCCCUUGGCCCCAACCUCUGAGCCCUCAGAAAGAGGCACUCUGACCGGUCCCACUAAGGAGGUCUUACUCUGCCUCAGUUUCCCUCUCCUCACACCCCUGUGGAUGCUGGAAAAAUAAGGCACUCUGUGCCAAUGGGCAAGUGCAAUAGGAACACAGACCUCAGAACCAGAUCGGCAAGAUGGGAAGAAAAGAGAGGGUUCUCAAGGCAACUCCCAGGCAGGCCCCGGCCUCAGUC